GGGGAAUAUUGCACAAUGGAGGAAACUCUGAUGCAGCGACGCCGCGUGAAGGAUGAAGUAUUUCGGUAUGUAAACUUCUAUCAGCAGGGAAGAAAAUGACGGUACCUGACUAAGAAGCCCCGGCUAACUACGUGCCAGCAGCCGCGGUAAUACGUAGGGGGCAAGCGUUAUCCGGAUUUACCGGGUGUAAAGGGAGCGUAGACGGCACGGCAAGCCAGAUGUGAAAGCCCGGGGCUCAACCCCGGGACUACAUUUGGAACUGCUGAGCUAGAGUGUCGGAGAGGCAAGUGGAAUCCCUAGUGUAGCGGUGAAAUGCGUAGAUAUUAGGAGGAACACCAGUGGCGAAGGCGGCUUGCUGGACGAUGACUGACGUUGAGGCUCGAAAGCGUGGGGAGCAAAC
rnacentral:rRNA from 1 species